rnacentral:tRNA from 1 species
GGGGUUGUCACUCAGUGGUAGAGCACUCGCCUAGCAUGUGGGAGGCCCUGAGUUCAAUCCUCAGCACCA